UACGUAGGGUCCAAGCGUUGUCCGGAUUUAUUGGGCGUAAAGAGCUCGUAGGCGGUUUGUCGCGUCUGCUGUGAAAACCCGAGGCUCAACCUCGGGCCUGCAGUGGGUACGGGCAGACUAGAGUGCGGUAGGGGAGACUGGAAUUCCUGGUGUAGCGGUGAAAUGCGCAGAUAUCAGGAGGAACACCGAUGGCGAAGGCAGGUCUCUGGGCAUUAACUG
rnacentral:rRNA from 1 species